GAUGAACGCUGGCGGCGUGCCUAAUACAUGCAAGUCGAGCGAACGGACGAGAAGCUUGCUUCUCUGAUGUCAGCGGCGGACGGGUGAGUAACACGUGGAUAACCUACCUAUAAGACUGGGAUAACUUCGGGAAACCGGAGCUAAUACCGGAUAAUAUUUUGAACCGCAUGGUUCAAAAGUGAAAGACGGUCUUGCUGUCACUUAUAGAUGGAUCCGCGCUGCAUUAGCUAGUUGGUAAGGUAACGGCUUACCAAGGCAACGAUGCAUAGCCGACCUGAGAGGGUGAUCGGCCACACUGGAACUGAGACACGGUCCAGACUCCUACGGGAGGCAGCAGUAGGGAAUCUUCCGCAAUGGGCGAAAGCCUGACGGAGCAACGCCGCGUGAGUGAUGAAGGUCUUCGGAUCGUAAAACUCUGUUAUUAGGGAAGAACAUAUGUGUAAGUAACUGUGCACAUCUUGACGGUACCUAAUCAGAAAGCCACGGCUAACUACGUA
rnacentral:rRNA from 1 species